rnacentral:rRNA from 1 species
GACGAACGCUGGCGGCGCGCUUAACACAUGCAAGUCGAGCGAAGCGGCGGACGGUUGAUUAACACGUUAGUAACCUGCCUUAGACAUUGGGAUAGCCUCGGGAAACCGGGAUUAAUACCAAAUGGUCUAAGAUUGACUCGCGUCCGAUUAGCGAGUUGGUGAGGUAACGGCCCACCAAGGAGACGAUGGGUAGCCGGCAUUGGAGGGUGAACGGCGACAUUGGAACUGAGAAACGGUCCAAACUCUACGGGAGGCAGCAGUGGGGAAUAUUGCACAAUGGAGGGAACUAUGAUGCAGCGACGCCGCGUGAACGAAGAAGGCUUUCAAGUCGUAAAGUUCUUUUAUAUGGGAAGCGGUACCAUAAGAAAAAGCACCGGCUAACUACGUGCCAGCAGCCGCGGUAAUUC